AUAAAGGGCGACCAGUGGUCGCUGGCAUUCCAGGGGGCAGUUCAUCACACACAGCAUGCACCACAAGUGAUGGUGAAAAAAUGGUGCAAUACACUGAUGGUUGGAUUGUAUUAUUGGACUCUCCAGAAAGAACACAGUCUGUCACAGUUGAUGAAGAUGACGAUGAAGAGACCACAUCUGCUGUGACAGAAGUGGAAAAUGCUGGUA